rnacentral:rRNA from 1 species
AUGGUUGCUCCUUUUCCAAAUGUCUCUGUUGCGUACGGAAUCCUCUUAACAGUGCAUGUGACUGUAGCCUCAGCUCAAAGAAGUUUCUCUAAACUGAAACUAGUGAAAAAUUAUUUGAGGUCAACUAUGUUGUAA